rnacentral:rRNA from 1 species
AACGAACGCUGGCGGCGCGUCUUAAGCAUGCAAGUCGAACGGCAAGAGAGGAGCUUGCUUCUCUCCUAGAGUGGCGGACUGGUGAGGAACACGUGGGUAAUCUACCCUUAAGAUGGGGAUAGCUGCUAGAAAUAGCAGGUAAUACCGAAUACACUCGGCAUAUCACAAGAGGUGUUGAGGAAAGGAAGCUACGGCUUCGCUUGAGGAUGAGCUUGCGUCCCAUUAGCUAGUUGGUGAGGUAAAGGCCCACCAAGGCGACGAUGGAUAUCCGGCCUGAGAGGGUGAACGGACACAUUGGGACUGAGAUACGGCCCAAACUCCUACGGGAGGCAGCAGCUAAGAAUAUUCCGCAAUGGACGGAAGUCUGACGGAGCGACGCCGCGUGGAUGAAGAAGGCUGAAAAGUUGUAAAAUCCUUUUGUUGAUGAAGAAUAAGGGUGAGAGGGAAUGCUCAUCUGAUGACGGUAAUCGACGAAUAAGCCCCGGCUAAUUACGUG